AUGGAGUGCUUUCACUCCAUGAGAUCCUUAGCUAUACUCAUGUCAAAAAAAAGAGUGGGGUUUGUCCUUAAACUGGAUUUUGAAAAAGCCUACGACCAAGUUAAUUGGGAAUUCCUCCUUGAGUGUCACAAAAUGCGGGGGUUUAAUGAGACAUGGUGCGGUUGGAUCAAGCAAAUCCUGUACGAAUGGAAAGUUAGUAUUAAGCUGAAUAACCGCACUGGCCCUUACUUUCAGAGUGCAAAAGGGGUUCGCCAAGGGGAUCCCCAUUCCCCAUUCCUAUUCAACCUGGCUGUUGAAUGUCUUACCAAAAUGAUCAAGAAUGCUUAG
rnacentral:rRNA from 1 species